AAUCCGUAUUGUGGGUACCUUCUCAGGAGCUCCUUUAACCUUUCCCAUGUCUCGAAUAGAGACUCCAAUUUCGACUAUACAAAGAAUGACAUCUCAUUCCUAAGCUU